AGAUAAAUGUCAAGAAAUUACAAGCGCCUGAAGACAUGCAAUCCUCUUCGCAAACGAUAUGCGCGUGGCACGCAUGCGGCAACGACACACUUACUUGAAAAUGACUAGAAUGUUCGGUCUAUGUCUGAUAUACAAACUAUACCUAUAUUAUUAGCUAUUAAUCAAGAAUAUUUUUUUUUUACAAGAAACAUGAGUAUGGCAACUGACAAUCUAUCCUUAUGUAGUGUAAUCGAAGAAAGCCAUUUCGAUCAAAUUCGAUUAAUUUAAUUAAUCGAAGCUUAUCAAUUUAAUUAAUUGUAGAUUAACUUGCAGAAUGAGCAACAACAAAAGUUCAAAAUUUUUCUUAUAUUAUAUAUGAAAAUUAUGUUAGAGAUUUUGAUGUUUGUCAAUCUGUUACUUAAUCAAUUAAUUAGUUAAGUUAAUCCGAGUUUGAUCACGGUAGACCUGAGGAAAUUAGUUCUAUGUUAGGCAUAAUAGAAAAUUUACAUUGUAACAGUUUGAUAUCCAAUAGAAAAUGGAUUUUAAUCAAUGACAUUUUGUCCCUAUAAAAUGAACUUUUCUAUUGGAUAUUGAACGCCGUACAUCAGCAUCGGACGUAUGAAUCCUGUAUAAGAACAUGCGCGAUGCAUGUACAGUUUGAUAUGCAGGUCGACCAACUUUAUCAUUACUUCGUUUGAAGACGUCCCUUUCCUUUGAUCACGUUGCAAAUGACCAUAAUGAUUUAUAGUGAGCUGGACAACUCACUCUGGACCAAUCAAUAAAAAGAUUCUGUGCUGAAUUGGCCAAUUGGCAACAUGCACAAUUUGACGUCACUUCAUUUGAAAAUGCGACCAACUCUAUUCAUUUGCUAUCAUUUGCUUUGUUUUGAAAAGGGGGAUCCCUUCUCUUUAUUAAUUACAAUUUAUCUUCAGAGAAUUCCUCCCACAAUGUAUAGCAGAGGGUAUAAAUAUCACGACGCACGAAAAUUGCGUUAUAAACCCGCUGCAACUCUGCUGCAAGUAGAACGUAGCCUUGACCGUCAGAAUUUACUGAAGUCUUUGUAUCACAAGCCUUCAUCCAGCUAAUAGCAAAAUGGAUUCCAAAGAUCAAGCUAAUCGUACCAAUCAAUGCAAUCCCACUCAUACCCCGACAGGACCUGGGCAUCAUGCAGGUUACCAAGGGACAGGGACUAAGGCUGAUUUGGAUAAUCAUGGCAAACAGAUGAAUCCGAACAAUCCGGCAUAUAAGAAGUAACAGGCAUUCAUGUUUCAUAGAAUACCGAAAGCAUUGUACCUUGUAGAUGAUGUACAUGCCAAAAUUAUGAUAUAAAUGGAAUAACACCA